GUCUGCGAGCUAUCGACAUCAAUUUUCGACUACGUGCGUGCGCUCUAGACUAGUGAUGGGCAGAACGGUUCUUUUGACCGAACCGGUACUUUCGGAUCAGUUCCGUGAAAGAUUCGUUCAGAACGAUUCGUUCAUCUCGGUCAUUUCGUUCUUUUCUGUGAAUAGGAUCUGGCUCUUUUAUCAGGUGACGUAACUCGUUCAUCCUUUAGAGUAUUGGCUACGGACAGCCUAAGUUUCACCCCCAUAGAUCGACAUGCCCUUCGGGCUGGUUCGUACAUGUUCGGUUUUUUUUUUUUUUUUUUUUUAUCUGUACGUUCAAAACAAACAUUGCAAUAUUGAUCAAAAAAUUGUUGACUAAUGUUAUUUUAUAUUUUUUUAAGAGUAAAACACAUGUACACAAAUAUUUCCUUUUACUAAUUAUGAGAUUUUCAGGUAAGUUAUUGAGCUAUUUCUGUUUGAUUUGUUAGGAGAUUAGUUUUGUCCGUUUACAAGUUAACAUUGCUUGUGUUAUUCUUGGCAAGUAAUCAUUUCUUAUAUAAAUUUUUGUACACUAUAGGCUUAUCUUUUUAAAUUUUAGGUAGCGUGUGGAGAUUUCAUCUUAUGUUCAUGAGCGCACAACGUAUAAAAUAUAAAAUCAUAAGAAAUGUUUUCUGGUGGUGUGUAGCAGUUAACCGCAUUUAAGUAAAAGUAUUUUAAAAUGAUUGUUACCAGAGCUGAAUUACAUUGAGGCUUGUGGAGAACAGCUUUUUUUUUAAUCUACUCUUUGGCUGGCGAAUGUAAAUAAGCAAUGAUUUCGUGAAUGCAGCGAGAGAGUUUAUUUGAUGUAUUUUAAAAUCACUGAUAAUAUUUAUUGAUGUAUUUUAAAAUCACUGAUAAUAUUUAUUGAUGUAUUUUAAAAUCACUGAUAAUAUUUGUUUUGUGGCUGGAAGAUGGUAACCAUGGUGACUUGUGAAUUUUUAUGAAGAUUAAUAAAAAGCAGUAAAAAUUA